ACCUCUCAUGUCCACAGCAACAAGAGCUGCCGCGAAUCGAGGAGGAAAGGUCGCCACUGUGGUCGGAGACCGGGCUACCGACGCCGGGGGCACGGCGGGCAGCGCCGGUGCGACGCACGGCGGAACAGGAAACGAACAGCGCGGCAGUGAGGAGGUUGUGUGCUCCACGGCUAGGGCUAUGUCAAUGUCAGGAUAUCAAGACGGGGAUGAUGAUUGGGCGUGGCACUGAAAAACAAGGGCUUUAUUAUGUAGACAGGAUGGCCCACCACGGUACUGCGAUGCUGACUCACGGACCGACUUCAUCACAAGCCUUGAUUUGGCAUCGCCGGUUAGGACAUCCGUCUAUAGGAUAUUUACGUCUUCUGUUUCCUAAACUUACUAGCAAUCUUUCCCAUUUGAAUUGUGAAACUUGUUUUUUGGCCAAGAGCCACAGACACACGUUUAAAUUUAGUAAUACCCGUGAGAAGGUUCCUUUUUCCAUUGUUCA